UGUUUCUUUUUGCCAAUCGCU
ensembl:piRNA 21ur-3932 ncRNA